AAAUUGAAGAGUUUGAUCAUGGCUCAGAUUGAACGCUGGCGGCAGGCCUAACACAUGCAAGUCGAACGGUAACAGGAAGCAGCUUGCUGCUUCGCUGACGAGUGGCGGACGGGUGAGUAAUGUCUGGGAAACUGCCUGAUGGAGGGGGAUAACUACUGGAAACGGUGGCUAAUACCGCAUAACGUCGCAAGACCAAAGAGGGGGACCUUCGGGCCUCUUGCCAUCAGAUGUGCCCAGAUGGGAUUAGCUAGUUGGUGAGGUAACGGCUCACCAAGGCGACGAUCCCUAGCUGGUCUGAGAGGAUGACCAGCCACACUGGAACUGAGACACGGUCCAGACUCCUACGGGAGGCAGCAGUGGGGAAUAUUGCACAAUGGGCGCAAGCCUGAUGCAGCCAUGCCGCGUGUAUGAAGAAGGCCUUCGGGUUGUAAAGUACUUUCAGCGGGGAGGAAGGUGUUGUGGUUAAUAACCGCAGCAAUUGACGUUACCCGCAGAAGAAGCACCGGCUAACUCCGUGCCAGCAGCCGCGGUAAUACGGAGGGUGCAAGCGUUAAUCGGAAUUACUGGGCGUAAAGCGCACGCAGGCGGUCUGUCAAGUCGGAUGUGAAAUCCCCGGGCUCAACCUGGGAACUGCAUUCGAAACUGGCAGGCUUGAGUCUUGUAGAGGGGGGUAGAAUUCCAGGUGUAGCGGUGAAAUGCGUAGAGAUCUGGAGGAAUACCGGUGGCGAAGGCGGCCCCCUGGACAAAGACUGACGCUCAGGUGCGAAAGCGUGGGGAGCAAACAGGAUUAGAUACCCUGGUAGUCCACGCCGUAAACGAUGUCUACUUGGAGGUUGUGCCCUUGAGGCGUGGCUUCCGGAGCUAACGCGUUAAGUAGACCGCCUGGGGAGUACGGCCGCAAGGUUAAAACUCAAAUGAAUUGACGGGGGCCCGCACAAGCGGUGGAGCAUGUGGUUUAAUUCGAUGCAACGCGAAGAACCUUACCUGGUCUUGACAUCCACGGAAGUUUUCAGAGAUGGAAUUGUGCCUUCGGGAACCGUGAGACAGGUGCUGCAUGGCUGUCGUCAGCUCGUGUUGUGAAAUGUUGGGUUAAGUCCCGCAACGAGCGCAACCCUUAUCCUUUGUUGCCAGCGAUUAGGUCGGGAACUCAAAGGAGACUGCCAGUGAUAAACUGGAGGAAGGUGGGGAUGACGUCAAGUCAUCAUGGCCCUUACGACCAGGGCUACACACGUGCUACAAUGGCGCAUACAAAGAGAAGCGACCUCGCGAGAGCAAGCGGACCUCAUAAAGUGCGUCGUAGUCCGGAUUGGAGUCUGCAACUCGACUCCAUGAAGUCGGAAUCGCUAGUAAUCGUGGAUCAGAAUGCCACGGUGAAUACGUUCCCGGGCCUUGUACACACCGCCCGUCACACCAUGGGAGUGGGUUGCAAAAGAAGUAGGUAGCUUAACCUUCGGGAGGGCGCUUACCACUUUGUGAUUCAUGACUGGGGUGAAGUCGUAACAAGGUAACCGUAGGGGAACCUGCGGUUGGAUCACCUCCUUA
rnacentral:rRNA from 1 species